GAUGAACGCUGGCGGCGUGCCUAAUACAUGCAAGUCGAGCGAACAGACGAGGAGCUUGCUCCUCUGACGUUAGCGGCGGACGGGUGAGUAACACGUGGAUAACCUACCUAUAAGACUGGGAUAACUUCGGGAAACCGGAGCUAAUACCGGAUAAUAUAUUGAACCGCAUGGUUCAAUAGUGAAAGACGGUUUUGCUGUCACUUAUAGCUGGAUCCGCGCCGCAUUAGCUAGUUGGUAAGGUAACGGCUUACCAAGGCAACGAUGCGUAGCCGACCUGAGAGGGUGAUCGGCCACACUGGAACUGAGGCACGGUCCAGACUCCUACGGGAGGCAGCAGUAGGGAAUCUUCCGCAAUGGGCGAAAGCCUGACGGAGCAACGCCGCGUGAGUGAUGAAGGUCUUCGGAUCGUAAAACUCUGUUAUUAGGGAAGAACAAAUGUGUAAGUAACUAUGCACGUCUUGACGGUACCUAAUCAGAAAGCCACGGCUAACUACGUG
rnacentral:rRNA from 1 species